rfam:Enterococcus durans ATCC 6056 genomic scaffold acyDB-supercont2.4, whole genome shotgun sequence.
GUACCCUUAGCUCAGUUGGUUAGAGCAGACGGCUCAUAACCGUCCGGUCGUAGGUUCGAGUCCUACAGGGUACA